rnacentral:rRNA from 1 species
ACACAACAAGAGAACAAAGAAACUCGACUACGUUCAUCACGAACUAUCGAGCCAAAACGACUAUUGGCAGUCGGACAGGAUGACAGUGGAGUGCAUAUCGCAGCCCUUCAGGUGGGAGAGCUGCUUGAGGGCGGCUGCAGCAGUGGGAUUCUGCGCGGCCGAGCUGGACAGGGCAAUCAGAAUCUCGUCGGUGUGCAGACGGGGGUUCUUGCUGCCCAGAUAGUUGGUUUUGAGGGUCUGGAUGGGCUCGAUGGCGGCAGCAGAAACGAGGUCAAGCUCCUGGUCGAUGCCGGCCAGUUUUUUCAGCGCGUUGAGCAGAGCGGAGGAAGCGGCACCCAGCAGGGGGCCGGUCUUGCCGGUGACAACGGUGCCGUCCGGCAGCUCAAUGGCGGCAGCAGGGGCCCCGCCGGUGCUCUCGCUGCGGGCAUGAGCCUGCUUUUCCACUUCGCGCUGGCCCACGGUCAGGUCGGCCUGAUUCAGCAGCAGCUCCAGCUUGUACCGCUCGGCCUCCUUCACGGUGCCGGUAACCUUCUGCUCCUGCAGGCACUUGAAGUAGCGGCGCAAAAUCUCCUUGCGGGAAGCUUCGCGGCAGACUUCGUCGUCCACGAUGCAGUUGCCUGCCAUGUUCACGCCCAUGUCCGUGGGGCUCUUGUAGGGGCUCUUCCCGGCGAUCAGCUCAAACAUGGCGUUCACCACCGGGAAGAUCUCGAUGUCGCGGUUGUAGUUGACAGUGGUCACGCCGUAGGCUUCCAGAUGGAACGGGUCGAUCAUGUUCACAUCGUUCAGGUCGGCUGUAGCGGCCUCGUAGGCCAGAUUCACCGGGUGCUUGAGGGGAAUGUUCCAGAUGGGGAAGGUCUCGAACUUGGCGUAACCGGCCUUCACGCCGCGCUUGUACUCAUGGUACAGCUGGGAAAGGCAGGUGGCCAUUUUGCCGCUGCCGGGGCCGGGAGCCGUCACCACCACGAUGGGACGAGUGGUUUCGAUAUAGUCGUUUUUACCCAGGCCGUCGUCGGACACGAUGUGGGCCACGUCCGAGGGGUAUCCGGCAAUGGGAUAGUGGCGAUAGCUCCGGACGCCCAGAGCCGUCAGCCGCUUGAUGAAGGCGUCCGCCGCCGGCUGCCCGGCGUACUGGGUGAUGACCACGGAGCCCACAUAGAACCCCAGGCCCCGGAACACGUCCAUCAGCCGCAGCACGUCCUCGUCAUAGCCGAUGCCCAGGUCGCCGCGGAUCUUCUUCUUUUCGAUAUCUCCGGCGCAGAUGGCCACCACGAUCUCCACCUCGUCCCGGAUGGAGGCCAGCAUCCGGAUCUUGCUGUCCGGCUGGAACCCCGGCAGCACCCGGGAGGCGUGGUAAUCGUCGAACAGCUUGCCGCUGUCUCGACAAUGUACCCGGCGAAAUUGUAGUACUAGUGAAGAUGCUAGUUACCUGCGACAAGACAGAAAGACCCCAUGGAGCUUUACUGCAGCUUGAUACUGGGUUUCGGUAAUUUAUGUACAGGAUAGGUGGGAUGCUAAGAAGUAUGUGCGCCAGCGCAUAUGGAGCAGACGUUGGGAUACCACCCUUAAAUUACUGGAAUUCUAACUAUAAGUCCUAAGCGGGCUUGAGGACAAUGUCAGGCUGGCAGUUUGACUGGGGCGGUCGCCUCCUAAAGAGUAACGGAGGCGCGCAAAGGUUUCCUCAGCGCGGACAGAAAUCGCGCGAAAGAGUGCAAAGGCAGAAGGAAGCUUAACUGAGAGACAGACAUGUCGACCAGAUACGAAAGUAGGUCUUAGUGAUCCGGUGGUUGUAAGUGGAAAUGCCAUCGCUCAACGGACAAAAGUUACCCUGGGGAUAACAGGCUUAUCUCCCCCAAGAGUUCACAUCGACGGGGAGGUUUGGCACCUCGAUGUCGGCUCAUCACAUCCUGGAGCGGAAGUACGUUCCAAGGGUUGGGCUGUUCGCCCAUUAAAGUGGUACGCGAGCUGGGUUCAGAACGUCGUGAGACAGUUCGGUCCUUAUCUGUCGCAGGCGAAGGAUAUUUGAAGGGAGUUGACCUUAGUACGAGAGGACCAGGUUGAAGGAACCGAUGGUGCACCAGUUGUACUACCAAGUGCAUAGCUGGAUAGCUAAGUUCCGAAGGGAUAAACGCUGAAAGCAUCUAAGUGUGAAGCCCACCCUAAGAUAAGAUAUCCCAUAUCGAAAGAUAGUAAGAUUCCAAUAAGACUAAUUGGUAGAUAGGUUGGAGGUGUAAGUAUAGUGAUAUAUUGAGCUGACCAAUACUAAUAAAUCGAGGGCUUAACCA